rnacentral:rRNA from 1 species
UACGGGGGGGGCAAGCGUUGUUCGGAAUUACUGGGCGUAAAGGGCUCGUAGGCGGCCAACUAAGUCAGACGUGAAAUCCCUCGGCUUAACCGGGGAACUGCGUCUGAUACUGGAUGGCUUGAGUUCGGGAGAGGGAUGUGGAAUUCCAGGUGUAGCGGUGAAAUGCGUAGAUAUGUGGAGGAAUACCGAUGGCGAAGGCAGCCCCCUGGGAUAACACUGACGCUCAUGCACGAAAGCGUGGGGAGCAAACAGG